rnacentral:rRNA from 1 species
UACGAAGGGGGCUAGCGUUGCUCGGAAUCACUGGGCGUAAAGGGUGCGUAGGCGGGUCUUAAGUCAGGGGUGAAAUCCUGGAGUUCAACUCCAGAACUGCCUUUGAUACUGAGGAUCUUGAGUUCGGGAGAGGUGAGUGGAACUGCGAGUGUAGAGGUGAAAUUCGUAGAUAUUCGCAAGAACACCAGUGGCGAAGGCGGCUCACUGGCCCGAUACUGACGCUGAGGCACGAAAGCGUGGGGAGCAAACAGG